rnacentral:lncRNA from 1 species
GGGGACUAUUUAGAAUUUACUUUAAUAUUUCUGACUAGACUUAAGCAUUAUUUCAGGCGUUAUAAGUUUUUAUUUUUAUUUUUUUUUAUUUUUAGUUUUUAAUUUCUGUUUCUGAUUUUUGUUUGUUGUCUCAGGAGUGUAUGAUCACGAGAUCCAAAGGAAAGGAACAUCUUGUACCUUUGAAUUUGGAAAUCGAAAAGCAGCAUAAAAGAGACAACCGCGAAAAGAAGAAGCAAGCAAUGGCAGAGCAACAGAAUAACGUGGAUCUUGAAACCCUUAUGCGAACAGUGACAAACCUUCAGAGGCAGCUAGAUGAAGAGAGAGAUGAGAGCAGGCGCAACCGGGUUCCUCC